rnacentral:rRNA from 1 species
UUGACCUCACAUCAGG